CCUACGGGAGGCAGCAGUAGGGAAUCUUCCGCAAUGGACGAAAGUCUGACGGAGCAACGCCGCGUGAGUGAUGAAGGCUUUCGGGUCGUAAAACUCUGUUGUUAGGGAAGAACAAGUACAAGAGUAACUGCUUGUACCUUGACGGUACCUAACCAGAAAGCCACGGCUAACUACGUGCCAGCAGCCGCGGUAAUACGUAGGUGGCAAGCGUUAUCCGGAAUUAUUGGGCGUAAAGCGCGCGCAGGCGGUUUCUUAAGUCUGAUGUGAAAGCCCACGGCUCAACCGUGGAGGGUCAUUGGAAACUGGGGAACUUGAGUGCAGAAGAGAAAAGCGGAAUUCCACGUGUAGCGGUGAAAUGCGUAGAGAUGUGAGGAACACCAGUGGCGAAGGCGGCUUUUUGGUCUGUAACUGACGCUGAGGCGCGAAAGCGUGGGGAGCAAACAGGAUUAGAUACCUGGUAGUCCACGCCGUAAACGAUGAGUGCUAAGUGUUAGAGGGUUUCCGCCCUUUAGUGCUGCAGCUAACGCAUUAAGCACUCCGCCUGGGGAGUACGGUCGCAAGACUGAAGUGACGUCAAAUGGAAUUGAUCGGGGGCCCAGACUACAAGCGGUGGAGCAUGUGGUUUAAUUCGAAGCAACGCGAAGAACCUUAC
rnacentral:rRNA from 1 species